AUUGAACGCUGGCGGCAGGCCUAACACAUGCAAGUCGAGCGGAUGAAGGGUGCUUGCUCCUGGAUUCAGCGGCGGACGGGUGAGUAAUGCCUAGGAAUCUGCCUGGUAGUGGGGGAUAACGUCGGAAACGGGCGCUAAUACCGCGAACGUCCCGUGGGAGCAAGUGGGGGAUCUUCGGACCCCACGCUAUCUGAUGAGCCUAGGUCGGAUUAGCUAGUUGGUGGGGUAAAGGCCUACCAAGGCGACGAUCCGUAACUGGUCUGAGAGGAUGAUCAGUCACACUGGAACUGAGACACGGUCCAGACUCCUACGGGAGGCAGCAGUGGGGAAUAUUGGACAAUGGGCGAAAGCCUGAUCCAGCCAUGCCGCGUGUGUGAAGAAGGUCUUCGGAUUGUAAAGCACUUUAAGUUGGGAAGAAAGGCAGUAAGUUAAUACCUUGCUGUUUUGACGGUACCAACAGAAUAAGCACCGGCUAACUUCGUG
rnacentral:rRNA from 1 species